rnacentral:tRNA from 1 species
AGUGGUUAAGCAUUUGGCUGCUACCCAAAAGGACAGCAGUUCAAAUCUACUAGCCACUC